GACGAUCAGUAGCCGACCUGAGAGGGUGACCGGCCACAUUGGGACUGAGACACGGCCCAAACUCCUACGGGAGGCAGCAGUGGGGAAUAUUGCACAAUGGGGGGAACCCUGAUGCAGCAACGCCGCGUGAAGGAAGACGGUUUUCGGAUUGUAAACUUCUAUCAAUAGGGAAGAAAGAAAUGACGGUACCUAAAUAAGAAGCCCCGGCUAACUACGUGCCAGCAGCCGCGGUAAUACGUAGGGGGCAAGCGUUAUCCGGAAUUACUGGGUGUAAAGGGAGAGUAGGCGGCAAGGUAAGCGAUAUGUGAAAGCCUUAGGCUUAACCUGAGGAUUGCAUAACGAACUAUCUAGCUAGAGUACAGGAGAGGAAAGCGGAAUUCCUAGUGUAGCGGUGAAAUGCGUAGAUAUUAGGAAGAACACCAGUGGCGAAGGCGGCUUUCUGGACUGAAACUGACGCUGAGGCUCGAAAGCGUGGGGAGCGAACAGGAUUAGAUACCCUGGUAGUCCACGCUGUAAACGAUGAGUGCUAGGUGUCGGGGAGGAAUCCUCG
rnacentral:rRNA from 1 species